rnacentral:rRNA from 1 species
ACGAACGCUGGCGGCGUGCUUAACACAUGCAAGUCGAGCGGUAAGGCCCUUUCGGGGGUACGACGAGCGGCGAACGGGUGAGUAACACGUGGGUGACCUGCCCUCCAGCUCUGGGAUAAGCCUGGGAAACCGGGUCUAAUACUGGAUAUGACUCCAUGACGCAUGUUGUGGGGUGGAAAGCCUUGUGCGGCUGAGGAUGGGCCCGACGGCCUAUCAGCUUGUUGGUGGGGUGAUGGCCUACCAAGGCGACGACGGGUAGCCGGCCUGAGAGGGCGACCGGCCACACUGGGACUGAGACACGGCCCAGACUCCUACGGGAGGCAGCAGUGGGGAAUCUUGCGCAAUGGGCGAAAGCCUGACGCAGCGACGCCGCGUGAGGGAUGACGG